rnacentral:pre_miRNA from 1 species
CAAAUACUCCCUCCGUCCGGAAAUACUUGUCAUCAAAAUGGAUAAAAGGAAAUGUAUCUAGACGUAUUUUAGUUUUAGAUACAUCUAUUUUUAUCCAUUUUGACGACAAGUAUUUUUGGACGGAGGGAGUAGAAA